rnacentral:rRNA from 1 species
UUCCGGUUGAUCCUGCCGGACCUGACUGCUAUCGGAUUGAUACUAAGCCAUGCGAGUCAUUGUAGCAAUACAAGGCAUACGGCUCAGUAACGCGUAGUCAACCUAACCUAUGGACGGGAAUAACCUCGGGAAACUGAGAAUAAUGCCCGAUAGAACACUAUACCUGGAAUGGUUUGUGUUCCAAAUGAUUUAUCGCCGUAGGAUGGGACUGCGGCCUAUCAGUUUGUUGGUGAGGUAAUGGCCCACCAAGACUAUUACAGGUACGGGCUCUGAGAGGAGUAGCCCGGAGAUGGGUACUGAGACACGGACCCAGGCCCUAUGGGGCGCAGCAGGCGAGAAAACUUUGCAAUGUGCGAAAGCACGACAAGGUUAAUCCGAGUGGUUUCUGCUAAAGGAACCUUUUGUUAGUCCUAGAAACACUAACGAAUAAGGGGUGGGCAAGUUCUGGUGUCAGCCGCCGCGGUAAAACCAGCACCUCAAGUGGUCAGGAUGAUUAUUGGGCCUAAAGCAUCCGUAGCCGGCUCUGUAAGUUUUCGGUAAAUCUGUACGCUUAACGUACAGGCUG